rnacentral:rRNA from 1 species
AACGAACGCUGGCGGCAUGCCUAACACAUGCAAGUCGAACGAGACCUUCGGGUCUUGUGGCGCACGGGUGCGUAACGCGUGGGAACCUUCCCUUAGGUUCGGAAUAACUCCCCGAAAGGGGUGCUAAUACCGGAUAAUGUCUUCGGACCAAAGAUUUAUCGCCUUUGGAUGGGCCCGCGUUGGAUUAGCUAGUUGGUAGGGUAAAAGCCUACCAAGGCGACGAUCCAUAGCUGGUCUGAGAGGAUGAUCAGCCACACUGGGACUGAGACACGGCCCAGACUCCUACGGGAGGCAGCAGUGGGGAAUAGUGGACAAUGGGCGAAAGCCUGAUCCAGCAAUGCCGCGUGAGUGAUGAAGGCCUUAGGGUUGUAAAGCUCUUUUACCCGGGAUGAUAAUGACAGUACCGGGAGAAUAAGCGCCGGCUAACUCCGUG